rnacentral:rRNA from 1 species
AUAUCAGUCAUGCAUAGCAUAUCAAUAAGCGGAGGAAAAGAAACUAACAAGGAUUCCCUUAGUAACGGCGAGUGAAGCGGGAAGAGCUCAAAUUUGAAAUCUUCAAGGUUUUACCUUGACGAAUUGUAGUUUAAAGAAGUGUUUUCUGUUGAAGUUUUGGUAAAAGUUCUUUGGAAUAGGACAUCAUAGAGGGUGAGAAUCCCGUAUUUGACCAUUACUUUCAGCUUUGUGAUACACUUUCAAAGAGUCGGAUUGUUUGGGAAUGCAGUCCAAAAUGGGUGGUAAAUUUCAUCUAAAGCUAAAUAUUGGCGAGAGACCGAUAGCGAACAAGUACCGUGAGGGAAAGAUGAAAAGAACUUUGAAAAGAGAGUUAAACAGUACGUGAAAUUGUCAAAAGGGAAGCGUUUGACACCAGUGUUGUAUUCUCGAAAAUCAAUUAAAAAGAGUUGGAUUUUGUGUUGUAUUGACUUUAUCAGCUUUCUUCACUCUUUUCCAGCUUUUUUUAAUGCACUUUUCGUUUAACAAGUCAACAUCAGUUUCUUUUGUUGUAAAAAGGUCAUUGGAAGGUGGCUUUCUCUUCGGAGAAAGUGUUUAUAGCCUUUGACUCAUGCAAUCGGAGAGACUGAGGUCUGCAGCGUAGAUCCUUCGGGGUUAGAUACAUUUGUGCUAAGUUAUAGCUUUUCAUAGACAACUUGUUGACUAUGUUUAGUCUUGUAGCUUACUCGCUUAUGCUAUUUUACCUACGCUUAGGAUGUUGAACUCUAUCACACACAG